ACCUGGGUGGCUCAGUCGGUUGAGCGUCUGACUUCGGCUCAGGUCGUGAUCUCACAGUUUGUGGGUUCGAGCCCCGCAUCAGGCU
rnacentral:tRNA from 1 species